CAUUAAAGAGUUCUAUAACUCCCAAACCCAUGUGAACAUACCAUACGUUGCCUCGGCAGGUCGCGCCUACCCCGUAGCGUCCUACCCUAUAGGACCUACCCGGUAGACGCGGGUAAGCCUGCCGGCGGCCCAAGAAACUCUGUUUAGUAUUGAAUUCUGAACCUAUAACUAAAUAAGUUAAAACUUUCAACAACGGAUCUCUUGGUUCUGGCAUCGAUGAAGAACGCAGCGAAAUGCGAUAAGUAAUGUGAAUUGCAGAAUUCAGUGAAUCAUCGAAUCUUUGAACGCACAUUGCGCCCAUUAGUAUUCUAGUGGGCAUGCCUGUUCGAGCGUCAUUUCAACCCUUAAGCCCUCGUUGCUUAGUGUUGGGAGCCUACGGUACCCGUAGCUCCUCAAAGUUAGUGGCGGAGUCGGUUCACACUCUAGACGUAGUAAUUUUAUCUCGCCUAUCAGUUGGACCGGUCCCCUGCCGUAAAACACCCCAAUUUCUAAAGGUUGACCUCGGAUCAGGUAGGAAUACC
rnacentral:rRNA from 1 species